rnacentral:rRNA from 1 species
AGCGAACGCUGGCGGCAGGCCUAACACAUGCAAGUCGAACGAACCCUUCGGGGUUAGUGGCGGACGGGUGAGUAACACGUGGGAACGUGCCUUUAGGUUCGGAAUAACUCAGGGAAACUUGUGCUAAUACCGAAUGUGCCCUUCGGGGGAAAGAUUUAUCGCCUUUAGAGCGGCCCGCGUCUGAUUAGCUAGUUGGUGAGGUAAUGGCCCACCAAGGCUACGAUCAGUAGCUGGUCUGAGAGGAUGACCAGCCACAUUGGGACUGAGACACGGCCCAAACUCCUACGGGAGGCAGCAGUGGGGAAUCUUGCGCAAUGGGCGAAAGCUUGACGCAGCCAUGCCGCGUGGAUGAUGAAGGUCUUAGGAUUGUAAAAUCCUUUCACCGGUGAAGAUAAUGACUGUAGCCGGAGAAGAAGCCCCGGCUAACUUCGUGCCAGCAGCCGCAGUAACAC